rnacentral:misc_RNA from 1 species
GAUAAGAACGUAGCGAAAUGCGAUACGUAAUGUGAAUUGCAGAAUUCAGUGAAUCAUCGAGUCUUUGAACGCACAUUGCGCCCCCUGGUAUUCCGGGGGGCAUGCCUGUCCGAGCGUCAUUGCUGCCCUCAAGCACGGCUUGUGUGUUGGGCCUCCGUCCUCCUCCCGGGGGACGGGCCCGAAAGGCAGCGGCGGCACCGCGUCCGGUCCUCGAGCGUAUGGGGCUUCGUCACCCGCUCUUGUAGGCCCGGCCGGCGCUUGCCGACACAUCAAUCUUUUUUCCAGGUUGACCUCGGAUCAGGUAGGGAUACCCGCUGAACUUAAGCAUAUCAAUAAGCGGAGGA